rnacentral:rRNA from 1 species
UGGGGAAUAUUGCACAAUGGGCGCAAGCCUGAUGCAGCCAUGCCGCGUGUGUGAAGAAGGCCUUCGGGUUGUAAAGCACUUUCAGCGGGGAGGAAGGCGUUAAGGUUAAUAACCUUGGCGAUUGACGUUACCCGCAGAAGAAGCACCGGCUAACUCCGUGCCAGCAGCCGCAGUAAUACGGAGGGUGCAAGCGUUAAUCGGAAUUACUGGGCGUAAAGCGCACGCAGGCGGUCUGUCAAGUCGGAUGUGAAAUCCCCGGGCUCAACCUGGGAACUGCAUUCGAAACUGGCAGGCUAGAGUCUUGUAGAGGGGGGUAGAAUUCCAGGUGUAGCGGUGAAAUGCGUAGAGAUCUGGAGGAAUACCGGUGGCGAAGGCGGCCCCCUGGACAAAGACUGACGCUCAGGUGCGAAAGCGUGGGGAGCAAACAGG